rnacentral:rRNA from 1 species
GACGAACGCUGGCGGCGUGCCUAAUACAUGCAAGUAGAACGCACAGUUUAUACCGUAGCUUGCUACACCAUAAACUGUGAGUUGCGAACGGGUGAGUAACGCGUAGGUAACCUGCCUGGUAGCGGGGGAUAACUAUUGGAAACGAUAGCUAAUACCGCAUAAUAUUGAUUAUUGCAUGAUAAUUGAUUGAAAGAUGCUAUUGCAUCACUACCAGAUGGACCUGCGUUGUAUUAGCUAGUAGGUGAGGUAACGGCUCACCUAGGCGACGAUACAUAGCCGACCUGAGAGGGUGAUCGGCCACACUGGGACUGAGACACGGCCCAGACUCCUACGGGAGGCAGCAGUAGGGAAUCUUCGGCAAUGGACGAAAGUCUGACCGAGCAACGCCGCGUGAGUGAAGAAGGUUUUCGGAUCGUAAAGCUCUGUUGUAAGAGAAGAACGGGUGUGAGAGGGAAAGUUCACACUGGACGG